rnacentral:rRNA from 1 species
AACGAACGCUGGCGGCAUGCCUAACACAUGCCAGUCGAACGAGACCUUCGGGUCUAGUGGCGCACGGGUGCGUAACGCGUGGGAACCUGCCCUUAGGUUCGGAAUAACUCCCCGAAAGGGGUGCUAAUACCGGAUAAUGUCUUCGGACCAAAGAUUUAUCGCCUUUGGAUGGGCCCGCGUUGGAUUAGCUAGUUGGUAGGGUAAAAGCCUACCAAGGCGACGAUCCAUAGCUGGUCUGAGAGGAUGAUCAGCCACACUGGGACUGAGACACGGCCCAGACUCCUACGGGAGGCAGCAGUGGGGAAUAUUGGACAAUGGGCGAAAGCCUGAUCCAGCAAUGCCGCGUGAGUGAUGAAGGCCGUAGGGUUGUAAAGCUCUUUUACCCGGGAUGAUAAUGACAGUACCGGGAGAAUAAGCUCCGGCUAACUCCGUG